GAAGAAGGUCAGCAUGAAUCAAUCACUAUACUGAAAAAAUUCAUGAGUUCAGGUCCCCUGGGUGCUUCCAGUGUCCUGAGGGUUUUGGAGAACACAUCCUCACAGUUAGGCCCUCAAAGAAACGAAAGUGGCUGAGAAACAAUGGAAUUAAACUGCCUUAGGAAAUUCUGAAUGGAUGAACAUCAAACAUCCAGAUUACCCAUCAACAAGGUCCAGUCCUUACCAGGAGUCCGAGAGCGCGCCAAAUGAUGGGGAUACUGAAAUGACCGUAACCCAGUACUUGGUCACCGUCAGGGCAAUGUGUAAUGGACAGCAAAGCAGGACAGAAGAAAAGCAAAACACAGGAACACCAGAAAACUGGAGUUCUUCGGAGCCAUUUGCCUUCUAGAACCUCCAAGGCAUCUAUAGUCCCGCAGUAUAGAAUAAUGGAAGAGCAGCCGGCUCUAAGCCUGAAUCGUGAGUUCCUUAGACUCUUUUCUUCCCAGUGUAAUUUCGGGAACUUCUGAGCCCUGGUCCUUUCAUUGUUUAUGAUACUCAACACCCAGCACAAUGCGGAGCGCAUAGUAAGAUGGCAGUGAAUUCAUCACCCCUUUCAAAGUCUAUGUUAUCUACAAGCACAAGUUUUAUUGCAUGUUGCCUUUUAAAGAAGUACCACAGUCGCCAUAGCUGGGAAACAAAUCCUGACACCGCCCCAGCGACCCCCCCCUUGGUCGUGGGCCUCCCCGCAGAGCGCGCGCCCGUGGGGGUGACCGGCGCAAAGUGAG
rnacentral:lncRNA from 1 species